rnacentral:misc_RNA from 1 species
GAUGAAGAACGUAAGCGAAAUGCGAUAAGUAAUGUGAAUUGCAGAAUUCAGUGAAUCAUCGAAUCUUUGAACGCACAUUGCGCCCUUUGGUAUUCCAAAGGGCAUGCCUGUUCGAGCGUCAUUUGUACCCUCAAGCUUUGCUUGGUGUUGGGCGUCUUGUCUCUAGCUUUGCUGGAGACUCGCCUUAAAGUAAUUGGCAGCCGGCCUACUGGUUUCGGAGCGCAGCACAAGUCGCACUCUCUAUCAGCAAAGGUCUAGCAUCCAUUAAGCCUUUUUUUCAACUUUUGACCUCGGAUCAGGUAGGGAUACCCGCUGAACUUAAGCAUAUCAAUAAGCGGAGGA